CAGGACGAACGCUGGCGGCGUGCUUAACACAUGCAAGUCGAACGAUGAAGCCCCUCGGGGCGGAUUAGUGGCGAACGGGUGAGUAACACGUGGGCAAUCUGCCCUGCACUUCGGGACAAGCCCUGGAAACGGGGUCUAAUACCGGAUACCCGCCUCCGCAGGCAUCUGCGGGGACGGAAAGCUCCGGCGGUGCAGGAUGAGCCCGCGGCCUAUCAGCUGGUUGGUGAGGUAACGGCUCACCAAGGCGACGACGGGUAGCCGGCCUGAGAGGGCGACCGGCCACACUGGGACUGAGACACGGCCCAGACUCCUACGGGAGGCAGCAGUGGGGAAUAUUGCACAAUGGGCGCAAGCCUGAUGCAGCCGACGCCGCGUGAGGGACGACGGCCUUCGGGUUGUAAACCUCUUUCAGCAGGGAAGAAGCGCAAGUGACGGUACCUGCAGAAGAAGCGCCGGCUAACUACGUGCCAGCCGCAGC
rnacentral:rRNA from 1 species